UUUUGGUUUGUCCCAAGCGGAAGUCAUUCGCUUGUCAUUUUUUCAUAGAACGUAUUUGGAGAAAGAAACAGAAAUCCAGUUAGUUUUAUACAUUAAUAGGAAUCAGUAAAUUAUAACUAGCAGAACUAACCCCACCAGCCAUAUAUAGAAACAGAAGGUCGUGAAUAACACAUAUUCAGACGUCAUCUUCUACUACUAUACAAAAGCUAUAAGAAUAAUGAUUGUAUUCAUAGAAUAAAAUAAACUGUAACUUGCUUGUUACGAGUAAAAGUUAUUAAAAAUACCCCGCGUGACAGGAGGUUACAUAUUCAAAACAGCUUUUAAAUUGUUUAUACAUUAUCUUAUACAGUACUAUUAUUCAUUUUACCGUACCACUCUUGUUAAAAUUGUCAACAAGUCUGCAUUUGAACUCUCUAAUAAAACUAUUGACUAGUACAACGUUUGGUUUUUCAAAUACAUAACCAAAUCCAAAAUUAUUUAACAUAUUCUUGACAUUUGAGACCCAGUUUGUAUAAUAUUUAUUACACUCAUUCAAGGCUUGUUUGUGCACAGUGUGCAUAAUAAUAUUUUUUUUGUUCAGAACUUUUGACCAAUAUUUGAUAAUUUUACCAAACCUAUUUACAUACAAUGGAUAUCUACCCAAUGCUCCAUAAACAGCAACACUACAUGUUUUUAUUUUCACUUGUAGCAAGCGUUUGCAACAUUUUAAAUGUAUUCGUUCUAUAUCAUCGGACAUCGUGAAACCCCAUACUUCUGGAGUAUAAUUUAAAGGGGCUUGUUCACACUUUGAUAAAUUGACAAAAUUUAAAAAAAUUGUUUCGGAUUUGCAAAUUUUCAUUGUAGUUAUGAUAUUUUCUUUAAAAAAAAAUACCAAAUUGUUUCCAUGCUCUAAAAUUUUCAUUAAAUGCAACUUUUGACGAUUUGAAAACCUGAAAAUUAUAAAGCGUCUCAAACGCGAAAUGAGUUAUUUUUAGUCAGAAAUUGUGAAUGGGAUCCCAACUAGUAUACCAGAAUGCAGCAUGCCCAUGCGCGCUGCGCUUAUCCGCUUUGGGUUUACAAACAAUGCAUCUCAUUUCUGUGAUCGAAAAAAGAGAAACAAAAGCCGGAGCCAGCGACAUCGCUCGAAUUUAUUCAAUCUUGGCGACAAGACUAAGUGUUUGCAGAACCAUAGGAGGAUCGUUGGAAGAGACGAAGACAGGGUAAUGGCUUAAACACACGAAAUGUAUUUAGGAAGACGUGCAUUCCAAACUAUUGCAAGUUUGACUGUUCAGCAUAAUGUUAGAUCAACAAACUCUUCACCUAUGCACGAUCAUCAGCCCCAGCCAGGUCCUGGCCUGUCAUUUGUGUCACAAGGAAGUACCACACCUGGUCAUGUGUCAGAUAUUUGAGAGAUAACUAACAUCUUACUUAGAAGUAAAUUGAAGGCAGCCAACAAUUGGACGGUGGUGCCAAUCAAUGAAAAGAAGGGAUACACGUACAUGCACUGAGUACACAGAGAUCAUCAAGGAAAAAAGCCUUCGAUCAAAGUUCCUUUUUGAUUCAGCUUAUCCAAAGCUGAUUGCCUCUACAAUUGCCCCUUAUAUAUCCACCUGCGGCUAAUGAGGAGCUGCAAUAUCCAAUAGGUCAAGGGCAAGCAACCCGGAAACAAUAUGAAGAUUUACUCAUACAAAUUGGUACAUGGUGUAUGUAACUAUGUUGUUUUAACUAACUUCAACAUACCAUUAUUAUGAAUUAAAAAAAUGACAAAGCUGAAAUCAAUGAUAACCGACUAUGGGUAGGAACAUGUUGUGUGAAUUUGGCAGCAUGGUUUUAUAGGACGUAUACCUUUGAGUAUGAAAGUGCAUGUGUGACCCUGGCUGUGUUUUCAGUCAGUAGAUGACUUUAGUGUUUGAAAUGAUGCUUGAAUUUAUUUGUGUAAUAUGAAGGCGUGACCAAAUGUGUGGCAUUAUGGUCGACUGUCCUGUCAUCAUCAUGGUGAUAAAAUGUGAUUUUAAUAAGUGAACUGCUUAUAAACAUAGGGCAGAAAUAUCAUUGAUAAAAUACUGAUGAACAUAGCAUACAAGUGCCCUUAAAUGCCAUGAGAAUAUGUAGUUGAGUUUUAAGUGUGUAAGGUAUUGUGAAUUUUGUUAAUUGUUUUGUUAUAAAAAUAUAGGAUCCAAAGUAUACAAUCAUAGAUUACUCUGAAAAAGAAGAAUAAGUCUGGCAAAUAACUACAUAAAUAAUGGGCCAAGUUCCAGAUUUUUUUUUUCAUAAGUCAAGACUAUUAACAGGAAUUGUUGACUCUUAUAGGUGUUAUGUUUCAUGAUUUGUGUUAAGUUUUUUAUGGGAAACCCAUGAUCAAACAUGGUGAAUUAAUUGUUUUGUUAUUACAAUAGAGGAUCCAAAGUAUUUGAUAUAGGUCACUCUGAAACAGAAGAAUUUGUGAAAACCUUGUUUGGCAAAUAGCUAAAUAAACACUGGGCUCAGCGUUUUCCUGAUUUUUUGUCACAAGUAAAGACUAUGAACAGGAAUUAUUGACUCUUUUAGGUAUAAGCUACCAUAGUCAAUGUUGAGUGUGUGCUGCACACCACAUUUGUUUAUGUUCCAUUAACAAUGACAUCAAAGCACAAUGCUUUAUAUAGAUUAUGUAUUGUUUUCCAUUGUUUAUCAGUCUAUAAACAACCAUUUAUUGUAAAAGCCUUACAUAAACUGUCAUAAAGAUGAUAAAGUGCUGUUUAUCCAUAAAUAAAAAAUUGGUGGAAUUCAGAAAUAAUUUGAUCUGUCAAAUGUUGAAAGUUGGAAACAUUUAUUCAAAAUGUUAUCAAUUAUAGUUUUGUUUCAUGAAUAUAAAGUAUUAUGUUUUGUGUUCAUUAUGUGAUGGAUUUUGUUGUUUUGGUUUAAAAUGUUUUAAUAAAUAACAUGAAGAAAUAAGAAGCUAGUUGUUCAAUUUUGAUUUAUUAUUACAUGUAUAUUACACAGCAAAACAUUACUGCAAGAAUGUUAAGUGAACACCUUAUUAUAAUACAUGUUGAGUUCAACACUGAACAAAAGAAUAUGCAUCAAUUUAAAACAACUCAUAAUACAUUAUUAUAUGAAACUGCAUCAUGAUUCAAAAGUUAAAGAGCAUAUAGACAGCUAAAACCUAAAUAGGUGAGCCUUGCCCUGGGAAAAUGGGGCUUAAUUCAUCUGCGUAAAUUGUCGUACGAGAUUAACAUGUGCUGAUAAUACCAAUCAGGCAGACAAUUGCUGCUUUAUUGUAUUUUUUGUUGAAAUGGAGUCUCUUAGAGAAAAUCCAGAUAAGGCGGAAAGUGUUGCCCCUGAUUAGCCUGUGCAGUCUGCACAGCCUAAUCUUGGACAACCUUAAGUACAUGCAUUAAACCCC